UCCCAGGUGGUCCAGUGGCUAAAACUCUGUGUUCCCACUGCAGGGGGCCCAGGUUCGAUCCCUGAUCAGGGAA
rfam:Ovis aries breed Texel chromosome 17, whole genome shotgun sequence.